CCUACCCUGAUAGCAGACUACUCCGAUCCGGAUCCGUUUUACCUCCGGCAGAUCCGCGCUACAGUCAGGUCUGUUUAGUGGAUCUGGUCCGGCUUCACUCCGGGUUCGGGUUAUGAUUGUGACUCACGUUCAGAUCCGUUUUACUGACGGUAAAUCCGCAUAACAGUCCGUCUCAUUUCACGCCUUCCAUAUGACUUCGGCACGGAGUCAGAUACCAGAUGUGAGUUCAGUGUCAGCUCAGUGUCGUUUUGCGGAUCCGGGCCGCAUCGGCGGAGCGGCACAGGAGCGGGAGAAAUUCAAACUCAGCGCGAGGACCAACUGACAUCUGCUGAAUCUGCGCUUCAGGGCUGCUGAGGGCUGGGGACCUGAGAUAAGGUGUAAUCAUUUACCCAUCAAAUCACCUAACAAGCAGGAUUUGGUAUCCGCAAAAUGGUUCGAGGUCCUCAGCCCUCGCCUCCCCCAGCACAGAGGAAAACUACCAAGGGCGGUACUCUCAUUAUAGGAGAUUCAAUUGUUAGACAUUUAAAAGUAUCUAAGAGUAAUGGCACAAUUUCAUGUCUUCCAGAUGCUUGCAUGCUGGUAGUCGGCAAGCGGCUCCCUGGGGCGCAUUGCCAAAGCAGGAACCCCGGCACCAUCGCCCUCCAUGUGGGGAUGAGCUUUCGGGAGCGACCGGCCCCAUUCCACAGAGACAGGCUUCUCUCUGUGAACAUCGAGGCGGUGCUACGCUGAGACUGACUGUCUCUACCCAGUCACACCAGCCAAGUAGGCUGCACUGUAGUGGUGUUAAGUGUCCAAGAAUGCUCUCAUCAGUGGAGGCACAGCUGGCUGCAAAAAACGUCUGUGUCUGCAUGUUUAUAUUAUGUGAAUUAAAAAUGGUUUUAUUAUUAAAAUAAUUGUA